CCAUUGGUGGUUCAGUGGUAGAACUCUCACUUUCCAUGUGGGAGACCCAGGUUUGACUCCCAGUCAAUACA
rnacentral:tRNA from 1 species